CCCGCGCAGUACCGGUCUGCGCUCCUGCGCGUGAGUUGUUUUAUUGCAAUACUUUACAACUAGUUUCAAAGACGCGCAGUGGAAAAAAGUGGACGAACAAAAAGUGUACAUACCACUUCUAGUAAUGUAAAGAUGUUCAUAAACAGUGGAAAGACACUUUUAACUUAAGUGAUUAAAUGUGAAUAACUUUUUGAAACUAAAAUGUAAGUUAGCUCAAACGAAAAGUUUUACAAGUGGACUUAAAAGUUGUAUAUAAAUUUUUGAUGUUUAGCAGUGAGACUAUAAAUGAUUAAGAUACUUAGAAAACAUGUGAUAAGGACAGUUAUUUGAACUAUGUGAUUGAAGAAUUAACUAUGUAUUUUGUCAUUUUAAUUGUGCUAGUGUCCGUUUCUGCGAGAGAUGUUUCACAAAAUUUUAAUUAUGAGCCACGUCAAGAAAGAUUUGAACGGCCAUUUAUCAAUCCGCCUGCACAACCCAAUUAUAGAAAUAGACAUGAAAGUGUUCAAUAUAAUAGACAAAAUGGUCACGUGAAUUUAAACCAACAUGAACAACUUCAUAGUGACAGUAAUGUCAGGAGAUGGAACGCAGAACCAAAUAGAGAUAAUUUUCAUGAGAAUUUUAAUAGCCAAAGGCAAUUUCAUGAAACCAAUAAUAGAGAAAUAUUUUCUAGUGACAGAAAUGAGAGAAAUAGGAACGAAAAUUCAAAUCAAGGUAUACCUUAUGGGCAAUUUGAACCAAAUAACAGAGCAUUUAGUUCUAAUGAUAGAAAUGACAGAGGAUUCCAGGAGAAGAACCCAGGGCACUCUCAUGUAAAUUUAAAUGACCGUGAACCAUUUAAUACGCAAAACAAUAGAGGUUUAAGUGAUAAUGACUAUAGUAAUAUAAAUUACAAUAGUCAAGGACGCUCACAUGAUAACACAGGAAGCGUGGAUAUCAACAUGGCUUUUGAUGGACGGGGUAAUCAAAAUAGACGUGAACAAAGCAAUUUGAACAUACCACGUCAAAGUUUUAACAUCAACAAUGAAUACUCUAACAGAGAUGUCGCUAAUAAUAGAAGUAGUAGUAGGGAUAGUAAUAGAGAUGAAAAAUACAAUCAAAACGUUUUGAAUGCCCGUAGGCAACAAGAUGAAAUCACAAUGGAUGAUUAUAACAAAGAAACACAGAAUAACCACAGAAAUUCUAACAACCAAAGCAACGACGGUAUAGUUCCGUUUAUAAAUAAUCUAAGUAACAAUACAAAUCAAAA